rnacentral:rRNA from 1 species
GACGAACGCUGGCGGCGUGCUUAACACAUGCAAGUCGAACGAUGAACCCGGAGCUUGCUCUGGGGGAUUAGUGGCGAACGGGUGGGUAACACGUGAGUAACCUGCCCUGGACUCUGGGAUAAGCGUUGGAAACGACGUCUAAUACCGGAUAGGACCUUGGAUCGCAUGAUCUGGGGUGGAAAGUUUUUUCGGUCUGGGAUGGACUCGCGGCCUAUCAGCUUGUUGGUGAGGUAAUGGCUCACCAAGGCGUCGACGGGUAGCCGGCCUGAGAGGGUGACCGGCCACACUGGGACUGAGACACGGCCCAGACUCCUACGGGAGGCAGCAGUGGGGAAUAUUGCACAAUGGGCGAAAGCCUGAUGCAGCAACGCCGCGUGCGGGAUGACGGCCUUCGGGUUGUAAACCGCUUUUAGUAGGGAAGAAGGGCUUCGGCUUGACGGUACCUGCAGAAAAAGGACCGGCUAACUACGUG